rnacentral:rRNA from 1 species
AUUGAACGCUGGCGGCAGGCCUAACACAUGCAAGUCGAGCGAGCGGCGGACGGGUGAGUAAUGUCUGGGAAACUGCCUGAUGGAGUGGGCUAACUACUGGAAACGGUAGCUAAUACCGCAUACCAUCAGAUGUGCCCAGAUGGGAUUAGCUGGUAGGUGGGGUAACGGCUCACCAAGGCGACGAUCCCUAGCUGGUCUGAGAGGAUGACCAGCCACCGUGGAACUGAGAAACGGUCCAGAGUCCUACGGGAGGCAGCGGUGGGGAAUGUUGCACACUGGGCGCAAGCCUGAUGCAGCCAUGCCGCGUGUGUGAAGAAGGCCUUCGGGUUGUAAAGCACUUUCAGCGGGGAGGCGUUACCAGCAGAAGAAGCACCGGCUAACUCCGUGCCAGCAGCCGCGGUAAUAC